GACGAACGCUGGCGGCGUGCUUAACACAUGCAAGUCGAACGGAAAGGCCCUGCUUUUGUGGGGUGCUCGAGUGGCGAACGGGUGAGUAACACGUGAGUAACCUGCCCUUGACUUUGGGAUAACUUCAGGAAACUGGGGCUAAUACCGGAUAGGAGCUCCUGCUGCAUGGUGGGGGUUGGAAAGUUUCGGCGGUUGGGGAUGGACUCGCGGCUUAUCAGCUUGUUGGUGGGGUAGUGGCUUACCAAGGCUUUGACGGGUAGCCGGCCUGAGAGGGUGACCGGCCACAUUGGGACUGAGAUACGGCCCAGACUCCUACGGGAGGCAGCAGUGGGGAAUAUUGCACAAUGGGCGGAAGCCUGAUGCAGCAACGCCGCGUGCGGGAUGACGGCCUUCGGGUUGUAAACCGCUUUCGCCUGUGACGAAGCGUGAGUGACGGUAAUGGGUAAAGAAGCACCGGCUAACUACGUGCCAGCAGCCGCGGUGAUACGUAGGGUGCGAGCGUUGUCCGGAUUUAUUGGGCGUAAAGGGCUCGUAGGUGGUUGAUCGCGUCGGAAGUGUAAUCUUGGGGCUUAACCCUGAGCGUGCUUUCGCUACGGGUUGACUUGAGGAAGGUAGGGGAGAAUGGAAUUCCUGGUGGAGCGGUGGAAUGCGCAGAUAUCAGGAGGAACACCAGUGGCGAAGGCGGUUCUCUGGGCCUUUCCUGACGCUGAGGAGCGAAAGCGUGGGGAGCGAACAGGCUUAGAUACCCUGGUAGUCCACGCUGUAAACGGUGGGUACUAGGUGUGGGGUCCAUUCCACGGGUUCCGUGCCGUAGCUAACGCUUUAAGUACCCCGCCUGGGGAGUACGGCCGCAAGGCUAAAACUCAAAGGAAUUGACGGGGCCCCGCACAAGCGGCGGAGCAUGCGGAUUAAUUCGAUGCAACGCGUAGAACCUUACCUGGGUUUGACAUGGAUCGGGAGUGCUCAGAGAUGGGUGUGCCUCUUUUGGGGUCGGUUCACAGGUGGUGCAUGGCUGUCGUCAGCUCGUGUCGUGAGAUGUUGGGUUAAGUCCCGCAACGAGCGCAACCCUUGUUCACUGUUGCCAGCACGUUAUGGUGGGGACUCAGUGGAGACCGCCGGGGUCAACUCGGAGGAAGGUGGGGAUGACGUCAAGUCACCAUGCCCCUUAUGUCCAGGGCUUCACGCAUGCUACAAUGGCUGGUACAGAGAGUGGCGAGCCUGUGAGGGUGAGCGAAUCCCGGAAAGCCGGUCUCAGUUCGAAUUGGGGUCUGCAACUCGACCUCAUGAAGUCGGAGUCGCUAGUAAUCGCAGAUCAGCAACGCUGCGGUGAAUACGUUCCCGGG
rnacentral:rRNA from 1 species